rnacentral:rRNA from 1 species
GGAGUUAGCCGGUGCUUCUUCUGCGAGUAACGUCACAGAUGUAAGGUAUUAACUUACACCCUUUCCUCCUCGCUGAAAGUGCUUUACAACCCGAAGGCCUUCUUCACACACGCGGCAUGGCUGCAUCAGGGUUUCCCCCAUUGUGCAAUAUUCCCCACUGCUGCCUCCCGUAGGAGUCUGGGCCGUGUCUCAGUCCCAGUGUGGCUGAUCAUCCUCUCAGACCAGCUAGGGAUCGUCGCCUAGGUGAGCCUUUACCUCACCUACUAGCUAAUCCCACCUGGGCUUAUCCAUCAGCGCAAGGCCCGAAGGUCCCCUGCUUUCCCCCGUAGGGCGUAUGCGGUAUUAGCAGUCGUUUCCAACUGUUAUCCCCCACAAAUGGGCAAAUUCCCAGGCCAUUACUCACCCGUCCGCCGCUCGUCAUCUUCAAAAGCAAGCUUUGAAAUGUUACCGCUCGACUUGCAUGUGUUAGGCCUGCCGCCAGCGUUCAAUCUGAGCCAGAAUCAAACUCUGA